ncrna:unclassified sequences DTF805b RNA
AACGGGGAAGCCGAAAACCGACCAGAGUAGGCA